AUGUGUACUCCGAAGAAGGAAGGGGGCAUGGGAUUUAGAGACCUUCAUAGUUUGAACCUUGCUAUGUUAGCAAAACAAUGUUGGUGACUAAUCCAGAACCAUAUUUGUGCACGUGUAUUAAGGGCUAAGUACUAUCCCGAUGGAAAUAUCCUAAAGGCUGGAGCAAAGAAUGGUUCCUCCUAUACCUGGCAGAAUAUUGUCUCGGGAAUUCAAACCUUUAACAGGGGAUGCAUUUGGAGAGUUGGAUCCGGAGCUGAAAUUAAUAUUUGGAGCGAUCCAUUGAUUCCAUCUAGCCCAAGCCGAAAAGUUAUAACUCCUAAAGGGAACAUCAUCCUAUCUAAGGUUGAUGAGCUCAUUGACCCCAACUCUGGUCCUUCAGAUGAAAUCCUAAUUCGAGACGUUUUUUUGCCUAUCGAUGCUCAACAUAUACUACAAAUCCCUUUGAAUGUGCAUUGCAUGGAUGAUUUUAUAGGGUGAAAUUACACAAGAUCGGUAACCUUUUCUAUAUGUUCUGCAUACCACCGAGAGUGGAAACAUCAACAUGGGCAACGGCGGUACAAAAUAGAUGGUCAAGGCAGGGUCAACCUGAAUUCAAUCUGGAAAGAAGUUUAGAAGUUAAGAAUUCCAGGGAAGGUUAAAAUAUUUGCAUGGGAAGUGUUGCAUGGGGUUUUACCAUGUUAUGGGGUCCUUUCAGGAAGGCACAUACGUACCCCUAUUCAAUGCCCGAUCUGCUCCUUUGGACCUGAGGACAUACAACACUGCCUCUUCAAGUGCGCCAGAGUAAGAGAUGUAUGGAAGGAUUUGGGACUUUAUGAUGAUGUGCAAAAAGCAGAUCUGCAAGAUAGGUCAGGAUCAGUUACACUUGAAAUUUUAGCUAAAAUGCAAUCAGUCACCGGAGGCUUGCCAUCUGCUGAACUAUCGCUAGUUGCUGCAUGGUUUCUUUGGUGGUAA
rnacentral:rRNA from 1 species